GAACAAUGAUGAGUCUAUCCCGAACCUGACUUGUGAUGACACACUAUUAUGGAUCUGACUGCUGAGUU